rnacentral:ribozyme from 1 species
UUCAGAAAAUGACAAGCCUGUGGGGCGUAAGUAGUAUUUUUAAGCAGGAGAAGAAGAGUGGCAAUUGCUCUGAUUAGUACUGAUAAUUGCAAAUACUACGAUCGUGCAGACGUAAAAAUCAGGU